UACGGAGGAUCCAAGCGUUAUCCGGAUUUAUUGGGUUUAAAGGGUGCGUAGGCGGCCUAUUAAGUCAGGGGUGAAAGACGGUAGCUUAACUAUCGCAGUGCCUUUGAUACUGAUGGGCUUGAAUGUACUUGAGGUAGGCGGAAUGUGACAAGUAGCGGUAAAAUGCAUAGAUAUGUCACAGAACACCAAUUGCGAAGGCAGCUUACUAAAGUAUGAUUGACGCUGAGGCACGAAAGCGUGGGGAUCAAACAGG
rnacentral:rRNA from 1 species